rnacentral:rRNA from 1 species
GUCCACGCCGUAAACGAUGGAUACUAGCUGUUGGAGGUAUCGACCCCUUCAGUAGCGAAGCUAACGCGUUAAGUAUCCCGCCUGUGGAGUACGGUCGCAAGACUAAAACAUAAAGGAAUUGACGGGGACCCGCACAAGCGGUGGAUCGUGUUCUUUAAUUCGAUGAUAAACGAAGAACCUUACCAGGGUUUGACAUCCUUGGAAUUUCUGUGAAAGCAGAGAGUGCUUUAUUGAGCCAAGUGACAGGUGAUGCAUGGCCGUCGU